AAUAAUUUAUUUUUGUAUUUUCUAAAUUCAAAUAGGGCUUAGUUCCGAUUAUUG
rnacentral:tRNA from 1 species